GUCCCUAUCGUCUAGCCCGGCCUAGGACGUCGGCCUUUCACGUCGAUAACACGGGUUCGAAUCCCGUUGGGGACGCCA
rnacentral:tRNA from 1 species